GAGAGAGAGAGAGAGAGAGGAGAAGAGAGAGAGAGGUCUGAAGGUACUUCUCCCCCCCCCCCAACCCUGAGGAUGGUGAUUCGCUUUUGCUUUCUUUGAAAUGGACCAAGUGAUCAGACUCCCCUAGGCCGGCAGGCAUCAGUGGCAGGAAAAUAAAUCAUUCUGAUGGCCAAGGAGAGAGAGGUUAGUGGGGGAGAAAAAAAAUCUUCGUAGAAAACAAGAAAGGCUGACCAAGGAGCGAGGGCAGAACUCUGUCUCUGAGGCCAGCAUCAGAGGGGGUUUGGGUUGGAAAUGAGAUAUUAAAGUGGCCUCCAACCUCGACUAGCCAAGAGGCAUUGCAUUACAGAUAGAGAUGCUAUUUUGGAAAAUGUGAGGUUUUUCAGUUUUCUUGCUUUUAUUCCAAACAAAGCUCUGAAGGAAGUCUGGGCACGAUCAAUCUUGCUCACCAAAAGCCUUGACAGCUUCUGGCCCUUAAGAACACAUUUCAGCUUCAAGCUCUUUCCAAGAUCAAAUGUGGCCGAGCAAAGAGGAGAGCAGGAAACGCAAGUAAACAAGGAAAACUAGUCUUUUUAAAGAUAUUUUUUGGCAGUGGAAGGGUUCUAGGGUUGCUUUUAGGAAAGGUGCUUUGUGGAUUUGGUGAUGGUGGCUUUUGGCAUUUGCUUUUAUCAGAAAAUUUUGAGGGAAGGGGAGGGGAGAUGCAUAGAGGAAGCAGCACUGCCUCUAUAUAGCUGGGCUUUGUCAGGGGCUGCGUGGGUGAGAGCUUUCUGCCUGUUUCAGCCCCCUUAAUUCAAAUACCAUCUGGAAGAAAAUGCUUUUCUGAAGCUGCUCAACACUGAAAUAGUCCCCAAAUCUAUUACUUUAACUCAGGAUAUAUUUUAAUAAGAAUUUCUUUGAAUAUCUAGAAAGCUGAGGAUGAGAUCAAUAUUUUUCUUUGAAAGCCAAAAUGAAUGCCUUAGAGUGGCAAGAUAUGGAAAAUCAUAUUAGAUUCUCAUUUUACAAUUUCUGCCCUGAGGGAAGGAAGAAGCUUCUAAAGCAUUCCUCCCUCAGCUAGAGUAGAUUUUUAGAAAUGGUUCAAAUGGUGGUAACCCAGAAAGAUUUUCAUCCUUAGGUGGAUAUCCAUAUUCUUCGAUUCUCUUUCUCUCCUUCUCCUCCUCUUCCUCUUCCUCCUCCUCCUUCACCUCCUCCAUAUAUACUGCUCCUUAUUUUCCCAGGUAACUUACAUAUGUCUCUAAAAUAGUUACUUAAAAAGAAGACUCCUGUAUCUGCUCAGCGUGAACAACCAAAAGGUGGAAGCUCCAAUCCUCACAAAGGCUGAUUUUCCUGCCUCUGCAUUUCUGAGGUCUGAUCAUAUUUCCCCAGAGAGGUUGGGGUAGGGGGAGCAAGACCAUUUCCCCACAGACCAAACUCUUUGAAAAGAAAACAUAUAUAUUAGGAGCUGCAGGACAGAUGUGGAGAAAGCACCUCUGGGUGUAAGAAAAACACCCAGCUCUCUGAAGCUGCCUGGCUUCGCAGCCUUCGAGACUUUUUCUUAAAAGAAGAAAAGGUUACCUAAAAGCAGUUCGUUGGGACCUAACAGGACCUAACAGGUACCCAGAAAUGGCUCCAGUGCCUAAGGAUCCUCUGAGGGCACUUCUCGGGAGGAUGAUAAAGGCCAUGAUGAUGGAUAUUUUGGAUUGCAAACAAAAUGGCGACAUUUUUCACUUCUGCCUCUGAGAGAUACAAUCCAGAGAGGAUGGGGCUUAUUUCUUACAUCAGAUACUUCUGAUCCCCAGACACAGGCGGUUCUUUACUCCCAGUUUUGAGGAUGAUGAUGACCGGGAAUGCAGCUCUGAGGUCUGGGGGAGUUUCAAUCCCUUUAGAUCUGCUUGGCUCUUCGAGGCGAUUUCGGGAGAGAUGGUUCUCUUCUGGCGCGAUAAACGACUGCGAAGCGUCCGCGAAGGAGACCAUAAGUCUGACCGCUCUUGGAAAGAGUUCUGCAUCCUCUGCAUGGUUGGUGAUUCACGGGGUUAAGACGUCGGCUGGUUCGCUUUGACCGGAGCUGAAGAACACGGGACGACUGCCCUGAGUUUUCCCUACGCGCGGCCGCGGGGCACCUGUGCGCCCCCCACCGCGCCUGGGCCGGGCUGCCUUUGUUUCUGACAACCGGUCGUUCCACAGACCCUGCGCCCUCCGCCUGCCUCCGCGGCAGCUGGGAACCAAGCAGCCCAGCAGGUCCGCCACACAGCCUUUCCGUAUCUGCCGCCACCAAGAACCCCGACUGCCUUCCGGAAUAUUUGCCGAGCUUUUAGGCGAGCCGCCGGCCAGGCCCCAAGCCGGAGGAGCUGGGUAGGCGGUCGCGGCCUACUCCGCCAGCUCGCUUCCGCCUGAAGUCCACGCAGACACCCAUCUUCAGCCAAAGAACCCCUUUUGAACACGGAUGUUAAUCAGAAUAAAAACUUUAUUUUUUAUUUUUUGUUUUGUUCUCAGAAUGUGAGCAGCAAGGAAUGUAGAACUCUCAAAACAAAUCUUAGCAUUUUUCGCGUUUACAGAUUGGUUGUUCAGUUUUGCCGGAUGUUACAAACCUAAAUCACUGUUUUCAAA